rnacentral:piRNA from 1 species
UAGAAUGGUCUUCCUAUGCACAUGCGCUAU